rnacentral:sRNA from 1 species
CUCAAUCGAUAAAUAAAAGACCGACGGG